rnacentral:misc_RNA from 1 species
AAGAGUUCUGUACCUCAUAGGUACUUACUCCAACCAAUUGUGUACCUUUUAGAUGUUGCCUCGACGAAACGUAUGGGCACCUAGUGUACCCAUCCUUCGGCUCGUAGCGGAAGUGUUUUCGUCAGAGGAUUUUUCAAACCAUUUUUAAUUGUGAUCUGAGUUAUAAACAAAUAAAAACA